rnacentral:rRNA from 1 species
AGUGAACGCUGGCGGUAGGCCUAACACAUGCAAGUCGAACGGCAGCACAGUAAGAGCUUGCUCUUACGGGUGGCGAGUGGCGGACGGGUGAGGAAUACAUCGGAAUCUACUUUUUCGUGGGGGAUAACGUAGGGAAACUUACGCUAAUACCGCAUACGACCUACGGGUGAAAGCAGGGGAUCUUCGGACCUUGCGCGAUUGAAUGAGCCGAUGUCGGAUUAGCUAGUUGGCGGGGUAAAGGCCCACCAAGGCGACGAUCCGUAGCUGGUCUGAGAGGAUGAUCAUCCACACUGGAACUGAGACACGAUCCAGACUCCUACGGGAGGCAGCAGUGGGGAAUAUUAGACAAAGGGCGCAAGCCUGAUCCAGCCAUACCGCGUGGGUGAAGAAGGCCUUCUGGUUGUAAAGCCCUUUUGUUGGGAAAGAAAAGCAGCAGGUUAAUACCCCGCUGUUCUGACGGUACCCAAAGAAUAAGCACCGGCUAACUUCGUG